rnacentral:rRNA from 1 species
GAGUUUGAUCAUGGCUCAGGAUAAACGCUGGCGGCGUGCUUAACACAUGCAAGUCGAACGGAGUGGUUCUCCCGAGGAUUGAGGAAGCUUGCUUCUGAUUGACUCAUUUGAAUCACUUAGUGGCGGACGGGUGAGUAACGCGUGGGAAACCUGCCCUAUACUGGGGGAUAGCAGUUGGAAACGACUGAUAAUACCGCAUAAGCGCACAGCUUCGCAUGAAGCAGUGUGAAAAACUCCGGUGGUAUAGGAUGGUCCCGCGUCUGAUUAGCUAGUUGGUGAGGUAACGGCCCACCAAGGCAACGAUCAGUAGCCGGCCUGAGAGGGUGUACGGCCACAUUGGGACUGAGACACGGCCCAAACUCCUACGGGAGGCAGCAGUGGGGAAUAUUGGACAAUGGGGGAAACCCUGAUCCAGCGACGCCGCGUGAACGAAGAAGUAUUUCGGUAUGUAAAGUUCUAUCAGCAGGGAAGAUAAUGACGGUACCUGACUAAGAAGCACCGGCUAAAUACGUGCCAGCAGCCGCGGUAAUACGUAUGGUGCAAGCGUUAUCCGGAUUUACUGGGUGUAAAGGGUGCGUAGGUGGAAUGGUAAGUCAGAUGUGAAAACUAUGGGCUCAACCCAUAGCCUGCAUUUGAAACUGCCGAUCUAGAGUGCAGGAGAGGAAAGUGGAAUUCCUAGUGUAGCGGUGAAAUGCGUAGAUAUUAGGAGGAACACCAGUGGCGAAGGCGGC